AAAGCUGAGGCUCCACUGGGUGACAAUGUCAGCAGCAGUGACAGCAAAAGCAUCCUUUGUGUCCACUGAGCCUAAAAGGGAAUAUGGCAUCUGCUUUCCCUAGCACGGUGGUGUUCCAGGUUCACAGUACCCACAGGACAUGGAAUUCUAUAUGAUCAUUAUCAGACUCGACAUCAAAGAAGACAAAUAGCUCUUUUUAAGCAAGCUGCCUCAGAGGCUGAAGGGCAUGGAGUUCAGUGUGGACAACAAAGCUUCCCAAAUGCCAGGACAUGCUGCCAACAAUACCUGGGAG